GCUUAACACAUGCAAGUCGAGGGGCGGCAUGGUCUUAGCUUGCUAAGGCCGAUGGCGACCGGCGCACGGGUGAGUAACACGUAUCCAACCUGCCGUCUACUCUUGGACAGCCUUCUGAAAGGAAGAUUAAUACAAGAUGGCAUCAUGAGUCCGCAUGUUCACAUGAUUAAAGGUAUUCCGGUAGACGAUGGGGAUGCGUUCCAUUAGAUAGUAGGCGGGGUAACGGCCCACCUAGUCUUCGAUGGAUAGGGGUUCUGAGAGGAAGGUCCCCCACAUUGGAACUGAGACACGGUCCAAACUCCUACGGGAGGCAGCAGUGAGGAAUAUUGGUCAAUGGGCGAGAGCCUGAACCAGCCAAGUAGCGUGAAGGAUGACUGCCCUAUGGGUUGUAAACUUCUUUUAUAAAGGAAUAAAGUCGGGUAUGGAUACCCGUUUGCAUGUACUUUAUGAAUAAGGAUCGGCUAACUCCGUGCCAGCAGCCGCGGUAAUACGGAGGAUCCGAGCGUUAUCCGGAUUUAUUGGGUUUAAAGGGAGCGUAGAUGGAUGUUUAAGUCAGUUGUGAAAGUUUGCGGCUCAACCGUAAAAUUGCAGUUGAUACUGGAUAUCUUGAGUGCAGUUGAGGCAGGCGGAAUUCGUGGUGUAGCGGUGAAAUGCUUAGAUAUCACGAAGAACUCCGAUUGCGAAGGCAGCCUGCUAAGCUGCAACUGACAUUGAGGCUCGAAAGUGUGGGUAUCAAACAGGAUUAGAUACCCUGGUAGUCCACACGGUAAACGAUGAAUACUCGCUGUUUGCGAUAUACUGCAAGCGGCCAAGCGAAAGCGUUAAGUAUUCCACCUGGGGAGUACGCCGGCAACGGUGAAACUCAAAGGAAUUGACGGGGGCCCGCACAAGCGGAGGAACAUGUGGUUUAAUUCGAUGAUACGCGAGGAACCUUACCCGGGCUUAAAUUGCAGAUGAAUUACGGUGAAAGCCGUAAGCCGCAAGGCAUCUGUGAAGGUGCUGCAUGGUUGUCGUCAGCUCGUGCCGUGAGGUGUCGGCUUAAGUGCCAUAACGAGCGCAACCCUUGUUGUCAGUUACUAACAGGUUCCGCUGAGGACUCUGACAAGACUGCCAUCGUAAGAUGUGAGGAAGGUGGGGAUGACGUCAAAUCAGCACGGCCCUUACGUCCGGGGCUACACACGUGUUACAAUGGGGGGUACAGAGGGCCGCUACCACGCGAGUGGAUGCCAAUCCCCAAAACCUCUCUCAGUUCGGACUGGAGUCUGCAACCCGACUCCACGAAGCUGGAUUCGCUAGUAAUCGCGCAUCAGCCACGGCGCGGUGAAUACGUUCCCGGGCCUUGUACACACCGCCCGUCAAGCCAUGGGAGCCGGGGGUACCUGAAGUGCGUAACCGCGAGGAGCGCCCUAGGGUAAAACUGGUGACUGGGGCUAAGUC
rnacentral:rRNA from 1 species